rnacentral:lncRNA from 1 species
GGCAGCUCUAGCGGUUGGACUGAUCACGUGCCGCUGCCAUCGGCCAUCAGGCCGCAGUCGGCCCGGACCCAGAGCGCACGCACGACCUUGCCUCCGCAGGAGCAGCGGCGGCCGUUGCUCCUUCCUGUCUCAACAUCUCCACUCCCUUUGAGAGCUGCUCUCCACAGCCCAGGCCCAUGCAGGAGACUAUUCCGGUUGGUUCCUUCUGUGUGGCCCGGGACCGUGGUUCCCCUGCACCCAGACCCGGGUCCCGGCGCCUUGCUCCAGCAGCGCUCCUGGACUGUGUGAGACACUGUCACCCAACAAGACGUUUGCACUUCCAGCUCCUCCCCUAUCUCUGCUUCUGAGAGCAGCCACCAGACAAGGGGUCUCCUGGUUUUCAGGAGGCCGAGUCACCUGGGACAAUCCAAGGGGACUUCAUGGAAGCCACUCCUGAGGCCGCAUGCGAAACUGGAACGCAGACAGGACGCGGCACUCGAAUAAGCCAAAUCCAGCUGCCCUAUACAGCAGGGCCUGCGGAGCCACCAAGCAAACCGACACGUGGUGAACAGGAUUAUCAAUCGACCGAAGUCACCCGAAAUGACAGGCUACCUUUCUAAUCAAUACACCAGAGAAACAGGUCCCAGACACCGAAUAACUUGGGCUUUGCAGCCUACUCGUUACCCGAAGAAAGAUCAUGUGUACUGAAAAGGAUGGUCUUCUUAAAGUUUCAAAAAAAAAAAGAAUUCCAUUGGUU